AGCUUCUGGGUCUCACCUGGGACAUGCAUAACAGUGCAGGGGUUGAAAAUGCACCCAUGGGAAUCAUCUUCCCAAGCACAUCCCUGCCCCUUUCCACCCUACUGUGGGUGGAGGAGAAUAAAGAGACCCCUGACCUUCUGGAGCUGGAAUCACCUAAUGUUGCUGCUGCAUUGGCCUGAGCAUCCCAUGAGUCACUUGUCCUUCUCCAGGGGGGUCCUCUCCCGACUCUGUUACCCACCCAUGCGCCAGCCAGCCAUGCUUACUCUCCUCUACCCAGGCUUCUCCUCAGGACCCUCAAGUGCACAGCCAGGAUUUUACAACCCCAGAGGGAAUGACACGCACAACAUCCAGAGGAUUUCAUAUCCCCUGAAAGGAGCUGGCUAAGUGACGGAUUCACAUGAAGAAGCAUGGGAUGAGCCUGCAGAAAGACAGAGGGACACAGGGCUCACCCAGGAAAGCGGAGGGGGACACGGUGCCAUUGCUCCGGGCCACCAUGACGCUGAUGCCCGUCUCCACAAAGGGCACGGAGAAAUCCACAAUCUCGGACCGCUCCUCAUUGAUGGUGAGGGAGCCGAUGGCCAUGUCUGCACGCUUGUAGUACACCUGGAAAAGGGGCAGGUAGAGGUCGUAGGAGAACUUCACUGCCUUGGCCAGCUUCUUCAGGAUGUCGAUGCAGAAACCUUUGCAGCACAGCUUCGUGUAAGGAUCCACAAGGCCAUCACCACUGGAAACACACCAGUAAAGAUGGGUUGGACCAAACAGAGAUGCUCUGAGCACCCUGGACACGUGCCAAGGGAGCGGUGGCCAGUCUUGCCAAGCUCCAUGUCCCUGCUCACCUCUGGGAGGAGUUGGUCUGCUUGCGGCAGGGCACGGUGUUGCGCACGCAGACCCCCGUGCUGGGGUCUGUGUUCUCCACGAUGACGAAGGGUCUCUCCUCCAGGGUGGCCACUGUCAGGUGGCGGUUAUCGACCACGGGCUGCAUGAAGGAGCCGUAGCGGGGCCACACCGGGUACUUCAUGUGGAUGAUGCCUUUAUCCCAUUUGCCCACCUGCCCCCAAGGGAGAGCGCAUGGUCACCCCAGUUAGGGGCUCUGGAGGUCCCGCAUGAUCCCAUAUCCAUCCUCCCACCCUUGGGGCUUAUUCCUUGUGAGCCCCAUCUCAGCAUCCCUUACCCCACACACUCAUGGACCCAGGGUGGGGUGUUUCCUCCUGAGCCCCAAGCUUCACACUCGGGUGAGCACAGACCUGGCCAAACUUUACCCAAAAUACUUUCAAACUACAAAAAACCCCUCCAUGCAUCUUGUUUCAGAUCUAGGUGUCAAGCUGCUGUUCUCCAGAAGUGGGAAUCUGCAUUUCUGACUUUUUUUGAACAUAUCAGCCAAAUUGCAAGGAAAAACUGCCAACUCCUGC